rnacentral:rRNA from 1 species
CCUACGGGUGGCAGCAGUCGAGAAUCAUUCACAAUGGGGGAAACCCUGAUGGUGCGACGCCGCGUGGGGGAAUGAAGGUCUUCGGAUUGUAAACCCCUGUCAUGUGGGAGCAAAUUAAAAAGAUAGUACCACAAGAGGAAGAGACGGCUAACUCUGUGCCAGCAGCCGCGGUAAUACAGAGGUCUCAAGCGUUGUUCGGAAGCACUGGGCGUAAAGCGUGCGUAGGCUGUUUCGUAAGUCGUGUGUGAACGGCGAGGGCUCAACCCGCGGACGGCACAUGAUACUGCGAGGCUAGAGUAAUGGAGGGGGAACCGGAAUUCUCGGUGUAGCAGUGAAAUGCGUAGAUAUCGAGAGGAACACUCGUGGCGAAGGCGGGUUCCUGGACAUUAACUGACGCUGAGGCACGAAGGCCAGGGGAGCGAAAGGGAUUAGAUACCCCGGUAGUC